CUGACUGUGUUUGAGCAUCAACCAUCAUCGAUGUAAAACACAGAGUCCACCUCCUCUCAUCUUGCUGGAGACUUGCGCUGACAGCUCUGAACAGGAUGUUGAUGGGGCAGGUGAUGAAUUCUGUUGCUUGGUUGACAUAAGUCCCAUUUUGUCCAGACCGGCUCUUUAGGAGCAGAAUUAAGUUCAAGCUGGGCCAGCAUGGCUCCUCUCCUGGCUCUCUUUCCUGUCCUCUGAGCGAUCACCGCACCCGCCGUGGCGCCUGGUCCGGUUAAUUGCAUUCAAAGGUUUGGCAUCCAAGAUGAAAGUCCCAGAUGUUUGGAACUUCCCACCAGCUUCUGAACACAAUGAGAGCAACUGAAUGAUCCAAUUUUAUUGGGAUUGUGUCGCCAGGAAAUAAUUUAGGUCCAAGUUUUACUUCCUGUCAGCUGCUGGCAAGUGCUGCAACCUGAACCCAUUUAGAAUGUUAAUGGCUGAAAAUGUGCAUUGCUGUCUCCUUUAAAUAAAAGUAGCCAUCCAGUAAAUCAA